rnacentral:lncRNA from 1 species
AGAGAAAGACCAGGGUCCCGAUUUUAAUACCCUUCUUUUUUCUUCAAUUGACUGGAAUAUAAAGGCGAAGAAACCUGUAUCUAUUUGUUCGCAUUUGACUGAAUCAGACUUCCAUGCUCUCGUCAUAGUAUUACAGAGAGCCUGGAAGUUAACAUUUGGCUUGGAAUAGAGCUUACCAUACAGGGUUAAUUCACUUUGAUGCUUUUCCUCUACAGGAAUGUCAUCCCCUAGGUCCGUGAUGUCUUCUUCGGACCAUAGAUCACCCAUUCUCCGACACAGCGCCGCUAACCGAAGGUGGUUAUCUUCUCUGUCAGUCAUCUUCCUGUCUCCUUUUCUAUUUUGGUAGCUUAACACUUCAGUAAUUUAGCUAUGGAAUGAAGGGAGCUCAUAGAUAUGGCUUUGAAAAAACUGAUUUAUGACACGUCCCCAGGAGGAUUCUCUUACAG